rnacentral:rRNA from 1 species
UACGUAGGGUGCGAGCGUUGUCCGGAAUUAUUGGGCGUAAAGGGCUCGUAGGCGGUUUGUCGCGUCGGGAGUGAAAACCUUGGGCUUAACUCAGGGCUUGCUUUCGAUACGGGCAGACUAGAGGUAUGCAGGGGAGAACGGAAUUCCUGGUGUAGCGGUGAAAUGCGCAGAUAUCAGGAGGAACACCGGUGGCGAAGGCGGUUCUCUGGGAAUGUACUGACGCUGAGGAGCGAAAGUGUGGGGAGCGAACAGG